UGCUUCUACGGGGCCAUAACAUUAGCUACAAGGAGGAGUCUGUUUCUAUGCCAUGUGGAAUUUCUUACUGGAAUGGUUUUAGAAAGACUUUGAAAACUCGGGUCAGAUCUUUUUUCUAACUAAUCUAUUUUUCUUUCUAACUAAUCUAUCUUUCUUUCUGUCUAAAUAAUCGU